rnacentral:lncRNA from 1 species
GGGCUGCACCUACAGUACACGGAGGUUCCCAGGAUAGGGGUCUAAUCCGAGCUACAGCUGCUGGCCUAUACCACAGCCACAGCAACGCCAGAUCCAAGCUGUGCCUGUGACCUACACCACAGCUCACGGCAACACCAGAUCCUUUAACCCACAGAGUGAGGCCAGGGAUGGAACCUGCAACCUCAUGGUUCCUAGUUGGAUUUGUUUCCACUGCACCACUAUGGGAACUCCCUUAAGCAUAAAUUUAAAUAGUUGAAAAGAAUAUAAUUUUCAGGGUAUUGACAUUUAAAAAUUUUUCCAUUACUCUACUCAAUGAAAUUUGAAUAACAAUUUUAUAACAUUAUCCUUUAAAGAUAUACAUGGACAAGCUUUUUUCUAAUAGGAGGAAAUUUUGUUAUCAUUCCUUUUUCUCCCCAAACUCAUAUUUCCACUCCAUUUUCCCCAGAUAAUUUUAUCCAAAUAUAUUUUAUGCUUGAAAGUCUUUUGCUGAUCAUCCUAUCAUACUUUUGUUUGUUGUGUCUUAUUUUUAGAGAUGUUAGUACUAAGAAGACUUGUUCACAGAAGAAUGAACACUGUCUCAUAGCAAUGUUAUGCAACUUUUUAAGAAUCUUUCCAAGUUAUUAUGUCAAAUAUUACACAGUGAUCUGAAAGCAAAAUUAUUUAAAAUUAUCACUAAAACUCAAUUCAAUCCUCCUUCAAUUUUUUUGAGAGCAAAGCAUUGGAAACCACCUGACCAAUAUAGACACUGGAGAAAUUCACUAUCUCAAUUUCUGGGAAACAUAUCAAAAAGUCUUUACCAGAAUUUUUUUUUUUUUUUGUAUUUUCAGGGCUGCAUCUGCAGCACAUGGACGUUCUCAGGCUAGGGGUGGAAUCGGAGCUGCAGCUGCCAGUCUAUUCCACAGCCACGGCAACACCAGAUCUGACCCUUAUCUGCGACCUACACCACAACUCACAGCAACACUGGAUCCUUAACCCACUGAGCGAGUCCUGGGAUUGAACCUGUGUCCUCAUGAAUACUAGUUGGGUUUGUUACUGCUGAGCCAUGAUGGCAACUCCAAGAAUUUACUAAAUGGGUAAUAAUUAUAGCAUUCUUAAUAUUAAAUUAUUAAAUAAAUAUUUAUUACUUAUUAAUUAAUUAAUACAGACCAUCUACCAAAAUUCUUUUGUGUUCACCAAAUUCAACUUCCCUUGCAGCUUCUUAGGGCCACAUGAUUAGGCACUGACCAGUGAAUAGUGAGCAGGAAUAAUGUGCUUCUGAGUAAGCUGGUGAGCUUCCCCUCUGCCCCAGCAACACUGGAAACCAUGAAUUUCAGAUGGCAAAACUCUAAGUUGGAGGGCCAGCUGACUCCAUUAGCUCUUGUAUGGACAGCAGAUGUAUAUAAAGCCACUAUGUUUCCAGGGUGUGGAAACGUUGUAAUGUGUCAGCUAGACUAAGCUGAACUACAUUUCCCUGAAUUCUGUUCCUCUAUGAUUCUGAUCAGGGUGAGCCACAAGAGAGACUUGUGUGGGCAUUGGAGAGUGGAAGUGAAACUGUAGUCAUUUAGUGGCCCAUAUACACUGUCGCUGAUCUGCCUGCUCACUCACCUCGGGGGUGUGAGGAAUGGCUGUGUCUACCAUCACUUCCUCUUCCCCUGGAGGCUCCUUCAACUUUUCUGAUUCCUGGGCCAAGUGGGUGUGUUCAGCUCUGUAACAAAGGGCUCCAGCCUUUGCAGGACAUCCACCAAGGUCAGGGGCAACAGGAACUGACACAGGUUGUGUCUGUCCUCAUGGACUCCAGUUUGGCUGAUGCCUGCUCUUCCCCACCUUAUAUCCAUCUUCCCUUCCUGACUGCCUGCCCUAUGGACUUUAAGAUCCAGCAUCAACUGCAAAGACAACAACCUUACAGAGACUGCUUAAAUAGAUUUGACAAUUAUGAGGUCAACUCUUUUGUUUAAAAAAAAAAAAAAAAAAAAGCCGUUUAAGAACACUCUUACCGGUUCUGCUUCUCUGGCUGAAUUCUGACUGAUACAUGAGUUAAUCUGCUAUGAAUUCAACUUUUCUUUACUCUUUCAUUUGGUGGUAUCUUACGUAAACUGAUAAAUUUAAAAAAAGGGUUGAGAAGAUACAAAUAUUAAUUUCAAUACACAUGCCAGUACAUUGUUGUGGCUGUGGUGUAGGCCGGCAGCUGCAGCUCUGAUUCCACCCCUACCAUGCUGUGGGCGUGGCCAUAAAAAGCAAAAAAGAAAAAAAGAAAAGAAAAAAAAAAGAAAAAAUACACAUGCCAAUAAAUUAAUUGAGGAAAUGUUUUUCCUUAUGUAUUUUAAAUGCAUUUUCCUAGAAAUUGUGAAACUAAAGAUUUACCUCAUCUAACACUUAUUAUUGGCACUAUCAAAACAGCCAAGUAAGACUCUCAGAAAAGUCUACCUUUCUCAGUUCAUAAAUAUGCUCACAUGUAUUUCGUAACUGCCUUCCCACCCCCCUGACCCUGGAUUCUAUAGAUGGAUGGAUAAGGCAUGAAACCUUGUCAAAGGGGGCUGCCACCUUCAAUACUUUUUUUUUUUUUUAAGGCCUCACCUGCGGUACAUGGACAUUCCCAGGCUAGGGGUCUAAUGGGAGCUGUAGCCAUUGGCCUAUGCCACAGCCACAGCAAUGCUGGAUCCUUAAGCCACUGAGAGAGGCCAGGGACUGAACCUGCAACCUCAUGGUUCCUAGUCGGAUUCGUUAACCACUGAGCCAUGAUGAGAACUCCUUCAAUACUUCUUAACAACAUUCUCUUUCCUUUGGUUUCACAAGAUUCUCCCUCAAGAGACUUUCAUUCUCUGAUGUUAGUUGGGAAUGAGUCAACAUUUCACUGCACUAUCCUCUUCUAAAACAAUCUGAAUUCAGAAAACUCAGCACAGGUCAAAACAUACUAUUUUAAAAUGCUGCUCUUUACCUUCAAAAGUAUUCAUAAAAAAGGGAAAGACACAAAGCUCUAUCAAGGGUUUACAGGGCCUAGAUUAAAAGAGAACUGCGUUCAGUAUUUUGAACGAGCUCUUUUUUGGGGCGGGUACCUUUAUUAGUUGUCUAUUGCUGUGUAAAAAAAAAAAAACCUCAAAAUUUGUCAGGUUAAAAUGACAAUUGUUUAUUAUCUCACACAGUCUCUGUGGGUCAGGGAUCCAAGAGUAGCUUGGAUGGGUGAUCCUGGCUCAGGAUCUCUCAUGAGGUUAAGAACUGAAUGGGGCUACUGUCAUCUGAAGGACUGACUGGGGCAGGAUGGCUCACUCAUAGGCCUGGAAAGUUAGUGCUGAUUGUUGGCAGGUGGCCUCAGUUCCUCACCACAUGGACAUCCCAUAGGGCUGCUCAAGUGUCAUCAUGACACGGCAGCUUGCUUCCUCCAGAGCGAGUAACCCGAGGGAGAGAGCAAAGAGGAACCCACAAGUCUAUGAUCCAGUCUUGGAGGUCACAUACUCUCACAUCUGCCACUCUCUCUUUUGAGAAAAUUUAAAUAUUAACUGGUAACAGGUAUUAAGUACUAAGGGGUAAAGACAAGUCUAAAGGAUACAGAAAUAAUCGUUACAGGGAAUAGCCACUACGUAUAGGGUGAGGCUGAAUACUCAAGGAAGGACAAUUUUGAAAGAGCCUUCUCACCUCCACUGUUAGCUUGGAUUCAGACUUCACUAGAAAGAGGACAGUUAUGGCCUGUUGGAUGGUGAAGUGUGUGUGCGCUGAGAGAGGGAUAACAGUUCUGCAGACUAUUUGCUGCCGUGUGCCACCACAAGGGCAAGAAGGAAAAGAAAAUAUUCUGGAAUGAGGAAAAGAAGACUCUUCAUUUGGCUGCUUCCCUCUAGGUCUCUGUAUUGACAGCAGUCAACACUGUGCCAGCUGGCAGGGGAGAAAUACUUACAGGGCCCUACUCCAGUAUUUCAAAGAAUGGAAAAGAAGGGUGGAUUUGGAACUGAGAGGCUAUAAAUUGAUAGUAGGCACACAUAUGCUCUGCUGCAGAAAAUCAAUGUAUGUGAUUAUAAAAUGCUGACCUAGAACCCACUGGGGGUGUUACAUUAUAUAUAUAGUAUGUGCAUCAUACAGCCUUUGUACAAUCGCAACAGUUCUGAAUUCUGAGCAUAUCUGGACUUCAGGUUUUUGGUUCAGGGAUUGUAGACCUGUACCAGCUUUCUUUUUUGUUAGCUAUCUGUGUAGAGCUAUCUGAAAAAUAGAGGGAACAUAUGCCUCAAGGUCUUCUGCCUUUAUAGAUGACCAAAUCUAAUCACCAGCUGGCAUCAAGCUUGAGUCAAUAAAAAUACCUGAGCACCUGAGAUCUUGUUUGAGACAAGGAGAGAACAAAGUGAUAAGCCUGCCUCUUCAACAGCUUGGGAACAACUUCUGUCCUAUAUAAUAACUUUUUCAUCUCACUGAGCUCCUGGAGUUUGACCCAAUAAUAUUAGUAUUUUCUCCUCUUAAGGUGGGAUAUGGUUUUAAUAAAAGGACAGAAACCUUGAGUUAUCUCCAUUACAGUCCCAUUGCCAAGGGUUGCAAGCUCAAAUAUCUAUAUGGAUUCAGCAUACAAGUUAAAUGAGUAAAGACAACAGGGAGCUGUGGUAACAGUGGCAAUCUAUAGCGUACAUGCUUUGAACAAAGAAGGUAAUUGCUACUUAACUUCUGCAUAUUUUUGCCAUGCAGAUCUGAUAGUCGAAUAGUCUAACUUUCCAAGAGAAGUUAGAAAUUCAGAUUUUAAAAUGUGAAACUAUCAAAUUUUGAAACAAUAAAAAAGACAGUGCAGGAUAAACAGACACAUGGAGGGGUUCAUAUUCAGCUGUGACUCCUAUCCUAAUCUCAGCUGCUAGGUCCUGUGACAAGUGCUGGCCCUUAAAGGCCCUGAUUACUGUUACACUGGGGGCCCCCAAUGCACGACGACUCUCUGUAUUCACAACCUUGUGUAGACCCUUCCACCCCGACUCUGGGCUUGGCCAUAUGGCUUGUUUUGGCCAGUGACACACUAACAACUGUGGUGCAACCAGAGGCUUGAUAAGUAUUUGCUCAACGGGGUUUGUCCUCUUGGAAGUUAGUCACCAUGCAGAAGCCUGAACGGUAAAAAGUCAGGUAAAGAGAGAGGCCCUGGAGGAUGAGGAAGCUGUUUUGAUGAGCUCCCAGCUGACUGCAGUCUCAUGAGUAAUCUCGGCUUAUACUACGUGGGACCAGCUGAGUCCAGUUAACCCACACAAUUGCAAAGAAUAAGAAAGCACUGUUAUUUUAAACUUCUAAGUCUUAGAGGUAGUUUAUGAUGAUGCAAUAGGUAGCUGAAAUAGAGGUCAUUUAUUCCAAUCCCUUUAUUUAACUAAUGAAUGUCUCAAAGCCUAGAGAGGCAAAGGGGUCUGGUGAAAUUCAGACACCAUGUUAGGAAUAAUAGCUUUUUAAUUCUGUGUUCUUCCUAUUGCUUUUCUUUCAAUUCCCUAAGUAGAAAGCAUCGGAUAAGGGCCAUUAAACUUAAAACUGUAUUGAACAGAACUUACACUGUGUCCUGCAUGCAUACAAAUUACUGUAGCAAUUCGGUGCUUGGAAAUGGAAAGACUUAGAGGUCAUCUAGUCCCUUCCCUUUACAGGUGCAGAAAAUGCAAAACACUUGAGAAAGAGAACAGUAGCCUUUGACAUUUGGCAGCUGGCCUGAUACAAUCAAACAGGCAGUAAUGUUACUAGAUGAUAGCCUGGUCCUCUUAGCUAGGCCUCGUGUUUUCUUGUUGAACCUAAUUUCAUAGAACAUAAAUGUUAGACAAAGCCAUUCUAUGGCCAUGAUAGACCAAUACAAAAGCGAAACCACUCCUAAUUAAAUCUGAACACAGAUCAAACAGGGACAUUGUUCAAACCACAAAAAAUGACCAAAUAGCCCUUAUUCUGGUAAUGAGGGACUCCUGCUUCUCUACCAAUCAGGACUUCAGCCUCGUCUAGUAGUCCUUCCGUCUAGAUAACAUUUACUGAGAUGCCCAAUCAUAAAAUUACCUCCACUUUCUGACAGCAUCUUAUCCAGGGUAAAGUCC